GCUGCGGUAGCUCAGUGGACAGAGCGGCGGCCUGCUUGAGGUUUUUUAGAGAAUUCUUCAAGAAGCCGUCGGUCGAGGGUUCAAUUCCCUCCCGCGGCACCA
rnacentral:tRNA from 1 species